rnacentral:lncRNA from 1 species
GCAGAAUACGUUUUUCAUUGUCCAUGCGCUGCAAGGUUUCAAGACCCAUCAAUUUUGACAACCCAUCCAAUAUCAUUAUCAAAAGCCCAUAAAAAACUUGCAGAUUCUUAGCUAGACUUAUUAUGUACAUACCACCACACGAACACCCUUUGUCCAAUUUCUUGGCCUGCUUUAGCAAAGACACCAAUAAACUCAAGGC